rnacentral:lncRNA from 1 species
GGCCUGACCUUGAAUUGCUGGUUAGUUCCUGAUGUGGGAAGCCUUUGAGUUCCAAACUUUUGUAGUGCCUGCUGAAAUUGUCCUAGGUUAACUAGGUACUGUAUUAAACCAGCCAUUUCUGGAUCAGUAAUUAGAUCAUUAGUUAAAAAUGGCCUCCUAUAUAGCAUCUCAUAUGAGCUCAUAUGUAUUUUUGCUCUCUAAAAGUUGUGGAUUCUUAAGAGGGCUAUGGGCAGUAAGCUGACCCAAGUUUCUGAUGUUUCCUGGCAUAGCUUAGCUAACACCCAUUUCAGAGUUUGAUUAGCCCUUCUUUCCCAGAGGAUUGAGGCCUCCGUGCUGAAUAUAAAUAGUAUUUGAUUCCGAGAGCCUUAGCAACCCCUUGAGUAAAGAUGGGCCGUUAUCACUUUGGAGGCUUUGGGGUUACACAAACCAGGGAUUAUUUCCUUUAAGAGAACCUUUAUAACUUCAUUAGCCUUCUCUGUUCUGGUAAAGUAACCUUCAACCCAGCCAGGAAAGGUGUCUAUUAGUACUAACGAUAGAGACAGGAGACAGCCAAAUGCCACCCAGAUCAUUGUGCACAGGGAGCUUGCCUAAACAUGGCCACGUUGAAAAAUUCUGUCCCUUAAUACAUGCACAGUAAGGGAAAUAAGUCAGUGUGGAGUGGCUCAGACUAAGGGCCCCCCUGCACACUGUAAGAAUGGUGUGGAGCACCAGGAAUUCACACCUUCUCUCAGGAGGAGCCUGGCCUCUUCAGCCCCUGUGUGGUGGCCUGGUAUUCAGUCUGUGAGGUGGGAGCCUGUUGGCAGGACCCCCUCUUUCUUUGCUGAGAGCUUUCUUUUCACCUAAUAAAUCUGCCCUCCUCGCCCUUCAAUGUCUGUGUGCCUAAUUUUUCCCAGAUGAGGAAAAAUAUCUUUAUGUACUCCUCAUUUUGCUCAUUUUGAGUUCUUUAAACAUCAAAAAAGUUAAUCCAUUAACUAUUUCAAAUAAGUCAUAUAUGAUUUCUGUAUAAUAUGUUGCCAUGGAAUUUUGUUAAUCACAGAGUAAGUUAAACUAUGCUAUAAGAGCAAAAAGCUUGCUUUGAAUGCUUCUGCAAAGCCCUAGGCAACAGGAAAAGCAAUAUUUCCUCCCUUAAUUAUUACAGGGAGGUCACUGAUCGUUACAUAAUUGCCCCGAUUCUCAUCCUGAGGAUACAAGAAAGAAUGCUCUGGAAGAGGGCUGCUUUGCAAGGACAUGAUCAGGCUGUGUCCUGGGAGGACUACAAUAGAGCUUUAGAAGGUAUAGGGUUUGCCCACAGUUUAAACUAGGAACUCUAUGCUUUUUCCAACUAGGACAUAUGUGGCAUUUUCCAUCCAAAUAACAGCAGCAUCAUAAACAUUUAUAUAAUUUGUAUAACAGUU